GACGAACCGUGAGAACGUUGUUCGGAAUCACUGGGCUUAAAGGGUGCGUAGGCGGGUUGUCCAGUCUGGGGUGAAAUCCCACGGCUCAACCGUGGAAUUGCCUCAGAUACUGACGAACUCGAGGGAGGUAGGGGCGAGCGGAACUGUGGGUGGGGCGGUGAACUGCGUUGAUAUCCACAGGAACUCCGGUGGCGAAGGCGGCUCGCUGGACCUCUUCUGACGCUGAGGCACGAAAGCUAGGGGAGCAAACGGG
rnacentral:rRNA from 1 species